GAGUCGACGGCAGCACGGACUUCGGUCUGGUGGCGAGUGGCGAACGGGUGAGUAACAUAUCGGAACGUAUCCAAUAAUGGGGGAUAACUAAUCGAAAGGUUGGCUAAUACCGCAUACGCCCUACGGGGGAAAGCUAGGGACCUUCGGGCCUGGCGUUAAUGGAGCGGCCGAUAUCUGAUUAGCUAGUUGGUGAGGUAUAGGCUCACCAAGGCGACGAUCAGUAGCUGGUCUGAGAGGACGACCAGCCACACUGGAACUGAGACACGGUCCAGACUCCUACGGGAGGCAGCAGUGGGGAAUUUUGGACAAUGGGCGCAAGCCUGAUCCAGCCAUUCCGCGUGAGUGAAGAAGGCCUUCGGGUUGUAAAGCUCUUUCGCAAGGGAAGAAAACUUAUCCUCUAACAUAGGAUGAGGUUGACGGUACCUUGAUAAGAAGCACCGGCUAACUACGUGCCAGCAGCCGCGGUAAUACGUAGGGUGCGAGCGUUAAUCGGAAUUACUGGGCGUAAAGCGUGCGCAGGCGGCCUUGAAAGUCAGAUGUGAAAUCCCCGAGCUCAACUUGGGAACUGCGUUUGAAACUCCAAGGCUAGAAUAUGUCAGAGGGGGGUAGAAUUCCACGUGUAGCAGUGAAAUGCGUAGAGAUGUGGAGGAAUACCAAUGGCGAAGGCAGCCCCCUGGGAUAAUAUUGACGCUCAUGCACGAAAGCGUGGGGAGCAAACAGGAUUAGAUACCCUGGUAGUCCACGCCCUAAACGAUGUCUACUAGUUGUUGGUGGAGUAAAAUCCAUGAGUAACGCAGCUAACGCGUGAAGUAGACCGCCUGGGGAGUACGGUCGCAAGAUUAAAACUCAAAUGAAUUGACGGGGGCCCGCACAAGCGGUGGAUUUAUGUGGAUUAAUUCGAUGCAACGCGAAAACCUUACCUGGCCUUGACAUGUAACGAACUUUCCAGAGAUGGAUUGUGCUCGAAAGAGAACGUUACACAGUGCUGCAUGCUGUCGUCAGCUCGUGUCGUGAGAUGUUGGGUUAAGUCCCGCAACGAGCGCAACCCUUGCCAU
rnacentral:rRNA from 1 species